AAAAAGGUAAGCUAAGUUAAGCUUCUGGGUUCAUACCCCAUUUAUAAAGAAUUUCUUUCCUUUUUA
rnacentral:tRNA from 1 species